UAGAGUUUGAUCCUGGCUCAGAUUGAACGCUGGCGGCAGGCCUUACACAUGCAAGUCGAGCGCGCCUUCGGGCGAGCGGCGGACGGGUUAGUAACGCGUGGGAACGUGCCCAGAUCUACGGAAUAGCCACUGGAAACGGUGAGUAAUACCGUAUACGCCCUUUGGGGGAAAGAUUUAUCGGAUUUGGAUCGGCCCGCGUUAGAUUAGGUAGUUGGUGGGGUAACGGCCUACCAAGCCUACGAUCUAUAGCUGGUUUUAGAGGAUGAUCAGCAACACUGGGACUGAGACACGGCCCAGACUCCUACGGGAGGCAGCAGUGGGGAAUCUUGGACAAUGGGGGCAACCCUGAUCUAGCCAUGCCGCGUGAGUGAUGAAGGCCUUAGGGUCGUAAAGCUCUUUCGCCUGUGAUGAUAAUGACAGUAGCAGGUAAAGAAACCCCGGCUAACUCCGUGCCAGCAGCCGC
rnacentral:rRNA from 1 species